rnacentral:rRNA from 1 species
GAUGAACGCUGACAGAAUGCUUAACACAUGCAAGUCUACUUGAACUUCGGUUUGGGUGGCGGACGGGUGAGUAACGCGUAAAGAACUUGCCUCACAGUUAGGGACAACAUUUGGAAACGAAUGCUAAUACCUGAUAUUAUGAUUUUAGGGCAUCCUAAGAUUAUGAAAGCUAUAUGUGCUGUGAGAGAGCUUUGCGUCCCAUUAGCUAGUUGGAGAGGUAACGGCUCACCAAGGCGAUGAUGGGUAGCCGGCCUGAGAGGGUGAACGGCCACAAGGGGACUGAGACACGGCCCUUACUCCUACGGGAGGCAGCAGUGGGGAAUAUUGGACAAUGGACCAAAAGUCUGAUCCAGCAAUUCUGUGUGCACGAUGACGUUUUUCGAA